CAGACUGGAACUGAGACACGGUCCAGACUCCUACGGGAGGCAGCAGUGAGGAAUCUUCCACAAUGGGCGAAAGCCUGAUGGAGCAACGCCGCGUGCAGGAUGAAGGCCCUCGGGUCGUAAACUGCUUUUAUAAGUGAAGAAUAUGACGGUAACUUAUGAAUAAGCACCGGCUAACUACGUGCCAGCAGCCGCGGUCAUACGUAGGGUGCAAGCAUUAUCCGGAGUGACUGGGCGUAAAGAGUUGCGUAGGUGGUUUGUUAAGUGAAUAGUGAAAUCUGGCGGCUCAACCGUACAGACUAUUAUUCAAACUGGCAAACUCGAGAAUGGUAGAGGUAACUGGAAUUUCUAGUGUAGGAGUGAAAUCCGUAGAUAUUAGAAGGAACACCAAUGGCGUAGGCAGGUUACUGGACCAUUUCUGACACUGAGGCACGAAAGCGUGGGGAGCGAACCGGAUUAGAUACCCGGGUAGUCCACGCCGUAAACUAUGGAUACUAGCUGUUGGGGGUAUCGACCCCCCCAGUAGCGAAGCUAACGCGUUAAGUAUCCCGCCUGUGGAGUACGGUCGCAAGACUAAAACAUAAAGGAAUUGACGGGGACCCGCACAAGCGGUGGAUUGUGUUCUUUAAUUCGAUGAUAAACGGAGAACCUUACCAGGGUUUGACAUCCCAAGAAUUUUGCCGAAAGGCGAGAGUGCUUUAUUGAACUUGGUGACAGGUGAUGCAUGGCCGUCGUCAGCUCGUGUCGUGAGAUGUUUGGUUAAGUCCAUCAACGAGCGCAACCCUUGUGAUUAGUUGUAUUUUUCUAAUCAGACUGCCCCGGCAACGGGGAGGAAGGAGGGGAUGAUGUCAGGUCAGUAUUUCCCUUACAUCCUGGGCUAGAAACGCAAUACAAUGGCCAGUACAAUGUGCAGCGAAGCCGCGAGGUGAAGCAAAUCACAUCAAAGCUGGUCCCAGUUCGGAUAAGAGGCUGAAACUCGCCUCUUUGAAGUCGGAAUCGCUAGUAAUCGCAGAUCAGCAAGCUGCGGUGAAUACGUUCCCGGGUCUUGUACACACCGCCCGUCAAACCAUGAAAGUGACCAACACCCGAAGUCCGAUUCGUCGGCCUAAGGUGGGGGGCAUGAUUGGGGUUAAGUCGUAACAAGGUAUCCGUACCGGAAGGUGCGGAUG
rnacentral:rRNA from 1 species